rnacentral:tRNA from 1 species
GGGGUUGUAGCUCAGCGGUAGAGCGCUCGCCUAGCAAGUGUGAGGCCCUGAGUUCAAACCUCAGCACCA